ACUUUUGAAGGAAAACAGUUAUCCGAUGGCCCUAGGAACCAAUAUUCUUGGUGCAAAUCCAAGUAAAAGUAAUG
rnacentral:tRNA from 1 species